GCCUGGCUGGCUCAGUCAGUAGAGCAUGUGACUCUUGAUCUCGGGGUUGUGAGUUCGAGUCUCACACUGGGUG
rnacentral:tRNA from 1 species